UCUUUGCAUCCGCAAGCCGGUUCAUCCGAUUGAUUAAAAGGGAAGCAGGUGAAAGUCCUGAACAGUCCCGCUGCUGUAAUCGGUCUUUCUUUGAGCGGAACAUUCGUGCCACUGACAUUUUUUCGGGAAGGCCGUUCCGUUUUUCCAGACCGUGAGUCAGAAGACCUGCCGCUUGUGUAUAUGGCUUC
rnacentral:ncRNA from 19 species